CACAUAUAAAUACACACAUGUGUGUGUGUGUAUGUGUAUAUACAUAUGUGUAUAUGUGUGUGUGUGUGUGUGUAUAUAUAUAUAUAUGUAUAUGUAUAUGUAUAUGUGUAUAUAUGUGUGUGUGUGUAUACACACACACACACACACACACACACACAUAUAA